GACGAACGCUGGCGGCGUGCUUAACACAUGCAAGUCGAACGGCAAGGCCCUGCUUUUGUGGGGUUCUCGAGUGGCGAACGCGUGAGUAACACGUGAGUAACCUGCCCUUGACUUUGGGAUAACUUCAGGAAACUGGGGCUAAUACCGGAUAGGAGCUCCUGCUGCAUGGUGGGGGUGGGAAAGUUUCGGCGGUUGGGGAUGGACUCGCGGCUGAUCAGCUAGUUGGUGGGGUAGUGGCUUACCAAGGCGUUGACGGGUAGCCGGCCUGAGAGGGUGACCGGCCACAUUGGGACUGAGAUACGGCCCAGACUGCUACGGGAGGCAGCAGUGGGGAAUAUUGCACAAUGGGCGGACGCCUGAUGCAGCAACGCCGCGUGCGGGAUGACGGCCUUCGGGUUGUAAACCGCUUUCGCCUGUGACGAAGCGUGAGUGACGGUAAUGGGUAAAGAAGCACCGGCUAACUACGUG
rnacentral:rRNA from 1 species